UCUCCCUCUCUCCCUCUCUCUCUCUCUCUCUCUCUCUCUCUCUCUCUCUCUCUCUCUCUCUCUCUCUCCUCUGCGUAUUACUGUUGCCGACGACGCAGGAGUACUUUCCGGCCACCAUUUUUAGCCACGCGCCGGACCGUUGGAUUCAGAGGCCUCCGAACUAUCGACCCACGCGGGAAUCUAGAGCUCACUCGCCGAUUAAACGCCUCAACCACUCGAUUUAAGUUCGGCCACCCCGCGACUUCAAAGUUGCGAUUCGGCCACCUCGGGCAUCCGUUUGCCGAUCCGUCACCACCAUCGUGUUCCUCGUGUUGUGGGCUUCAAAACCCAAUAACUUGUUCCUACAUCUACCAUAGUUGGGUGGUGGGCCCACCACGAGCCACCGCGAUCCACCGUAGACUGACGGUCGAAACUUAGUGUUCGAGGUUCCGAAGUACGUUUUGAGUCUCAGAAAAUCAUCGUUUGACUUGUUGUGGAACCCGAUCAUUUUGGAUUUGCAUGGAUUUGAUUGAUUGACUCUUGGUGAGGAAUUUUAAAAUAAGCUAAGGACCUAAGGUGUGGCUUUAGCUGUUGAGCAACUUGUGGAGCACGGACUCAGUAGCAAUGCAAUAAUGGUUUAGAGUUUUCAUAUGGCUGCCUUAAAUUUAAAGUAUUCAUACGUGUAAUAAUUUCUUCUAAUAAGUUUAUAUAAAAGUUUAAAUUUUUCUGUAUUUCUUCGUAUCAUUUUAUUUAAUUCUUUUGGUCAAGUGCCUUACAUACUCGUAAACCCUAGAAUUACGAGUAUGUGGCAG